rnacentral:rRNA from 1 species
AUUGAACGCUGGCGGCAGGCCUAACACAUGCAAGUCGAACGGUAACAGGAAGCAGCUUGCUGCUUUGCUGACGAGUGGCGGACGGGUGAGUAAUGUCUGGGAAACUGCCCGAUGGAGGGGGAUAACUACUGGAAACGGUAGCUAAUACCGCAUAACGUCGCAAGACCAAAGAGGGGGACCUUAGGGCCUCUUGCCAUCGGAUGUGCCCAGAUGGGAUUAGCUAGUAGGUGGGGUAACGGCUCACCUAGGCGACGAUCCCUAGCUGGUCUGAGAGGAUGACCAGCCACACUGGAACUGAGACACGGUCCAGACUCCUACGGGAGGCAGCAGUGGGGAAUAUUGCACAGUGGGCGCAAGCCUGAUGCAGCCAUGCCGCGUGUAUGAAGAAGGCCUUCGGGUUGUAAAGUACUUUCAGCGGGGAGGAAGGGAGUAAAGUUAAGACCUUUGCUCAUUGACGUUACCCGCAGAAGAAGCACCGGCUAACUCCGU